UCGGGGAUCGUCUAACGGUAGGACAAGGGACUUUGGAUCCCUGUAUCGAGGUUCGAAUCCUCGUCCCCGAGCCA
rnacentral:tRNA from 1 species